rnacentral:lncRNA from 1 species
GCUGCUGCUCGUGCCAGCAGUCCACACAGUGCUCCUGCUACAGGAUGAAGGGCCACAAAUGAGUGAUUGCAGGGAGGCAGCAGGAUCGGUUAUAUCUACAAGAACGCUUUUGUCAACCAAAUAUGAGACAUCAGUACCAUGGAGAUUGGCGUUUGUCCUGCAUACAGCUGGUGGGCACAUCCUCUCCUUGACAUAACAGAAAAAUGUCACAGAAUGAAACAGGAAGCAUUCGAACGCUUUGUUUGAAGUGAAAGCAUUCGUUUUGAAGUCUGACACAUGCGCUACAGUCGAAAUGUGUGAUAUGCAAACAAAUUGCAUCCUUUCUGAUGAAGGAAUUCCACAGUAACAUCUGCUGCCUUCUGUGAAAGCGGCCUCUGAUAAAGGUUUGACAGCUGACUGCUUUUGAUAAGUCACUUAUGACAACUUGUCUUUUGUCUAUAUUUCUGCUCUUCCCAUUAAUGCUUAGUCUGAGAAAGGUCACACUUUGUUUGUAUACAUUAUCAAACAGGUGUUUUGUUCCUGAGUACAUUCGCAAGUUAU